rnacentral:rRNA from 1 species
CAGGAUGGACCCGCGUCUGAUUAGCUAGUUGGUAAGGUAACGGCUUACCAAGGCGACGAUCAGUAGCCGACCUGAGAGGGUGAUCGGCCACAUUGGAACUGAGACACGGUCCAAACUCCUACGGGAGGCAGCAGUGGGGAAUAUUGCACAAUGGGCGAAAGCCUGAUGCAGCAACGCCGCGUGAGUGAUGAAGGCCUUCGGGUCGUAAAACUCUGUCCUCAAGGAAGAUAAUGACGGUACUUGAGGAGGAAGCCCCGGCUAACUACGUGCCAGCAGCCGCGGUAAUA